rnacentral:lncRNA from 1 species
AUUAGAUUGUUUCCCUUGCGUAAAGAAGGCUUAAGGUGGAUACAGCCCUUAUCCUCAGGGACAUCAGAAGAAGAAUUGAAACUGAAGUGACUGUUGUUGUUACAAGUGCAACAAAGGUUUUUAUAUCUGCACCAAUAAGGAGCCAGCAGAUCUGAAAGCAGAGGGAGUCAGUCUGCUCAUCCCUCCACCCACUAAGAUAGUACCAAUCACUACAGCAUUGGCAUCCCCUCUGAAGAAGAAAGGGAAGAUGGCACAGAAGUUUGAUGCGCCUGUUGAGGACACAAACGUACAGGUUGAUGCAAUCGGAUUAGAUGGAGAUUAUGUUGAGCUUGGUACGGAGGACAUUAUCAUCUAUAUCGUCCAAAUUUUGAAGGAAGUGCUGGCCAGUGAUACUGUCAGUGCAGAUGACAUAAAUGUAGAAAUGGAAACAUUGUCCUGCUGCUUCACUUAAAUUUAAAAAAAUGGCAGACAAGUCCUGUCAGAAGUGAAAUGAGUUUCUCUAAAAAAGAAAAAAUCUGUCUGUUUUAAAGCUGCUUACCAGCAUUUUUGGUGAUGAAACAUAUUCCUCAAAAUUACUUGUUUUAAAGGAAGGAUGUUAAUAAAAAAAAAUAUGAUAUUUUGAAGAAAGACACUUUACAAGAAAAGUUUACAUAAAUGUUCACCACAUUUACAAGACAUGCAAAGGUCAUGAAAGAAACCCAAUUAUAAGUAGUCUAUGUUGAUUAUAUAUGCUAAUGAUACAGUAUUCAAAAAGUUUCAAGGCAAAAAAUGUGUCAACUUGUAGUGCUUGAUUUCACAUUAUACUCCAGAAGAACUGGCAUGUACUAUUUGUUUGGUUUUAAUAUGUAAAAUUUGUAUUAGAUUUUAUUAUAUACCUAAAUAAAUUCUGUAAAAAAUCA